rnacentral:rRNA from 1 species
CCUACGGGUGGCUGCAGUGGGGAAUAUUGGACAAUGGGCGAAAGCCUGAUCCAGCCAUGCCGCGUGUGUGAAGAAGGCCUUCGGGUUGUAAAGCACUUUCAGUGGGGAAGAAAGCCUUGGGGCUAAUACCCUCGAGGAAGGACAUCACCCACAGAAGAAGCACCGGCUAACUCCGUGCCAGCAGCCGCGGUAAUACGGAGGGUGCGAGCGUUAAUCGGAAUUACUGGGCGUAAAGCGCGCGUAGGCGGUCUGAUAAGCCGGUUGUGAAAGCCCUGGGCUCAACCUGGGAACGGCAUCCGGAACUGUCAGGCUAGAGUGCAGGAGAGGAAGGUAGAAUUCCCGGUGUAGCGGUGAAAUGCGUAGAGAUCGGGAGGAAUACCAGUGGCGAAGGCGGCCUUCUGGACUGACACUGACGCUGAGGUGCGAAAGCGUGGGUAGCAAACAGGAUUAGAUACCCCUGUAGUC